AGGCGAAGGAGCGAUCCGGAGCAAACCCCAGAAAUAACGUCCCAGUUCGGAUUGCAGGCUGCAACCCGCCUGCAUGAAGCUGGAAUCGCUAGUAAUCGCGGAUCAGAAUGCCGCGGUGAAUACGUUCCCGGGUCUUGUACACACCGCCCGUCACACCAUGGGAGUCGGUAACGCCCGAAGUCAGUGACCCAACCUUAAGGAGGGAACUGCCGAAGGCGGGACUGGUAACUGGGGUGAAGUCGUAACAAGGUAAC
rnacentral:rRNA from 1 species